rnacentral:tRNA from 1 species
UCCUUUGUAGUCCAGUGGUUAGGACUCUGCAUUUUGACUGCUGAGGGCUUGGGUUUGAUCCCUGAUCAGGCAA